UACGUAGGUGGCAAGCGUUGUCCGGAUUUACUGGGCGUAAAGCGCACGUAGGCGGAUCUUUAAGUCAGGGGUGAAAUCCCAAGGCUCAACCUUGGAACUGCCUUUGAUACUGGGGAUCUCGAGUCCGGAAGAGGUGAGUGGAACUGCGAGUGUAGAGGUGAAAUUCGUAGAUAUUCGCAAGAACACCAGUGGCGAAGGCGGCUCACUGGUCCGGUACUGACGCUGAGGUGCGAAAGCGUGGGGAGCAAACAGG
rnacentral:rRNA from 1 species